ensembl:snRNA U2 U2 spliceosomal RNA
AUUGCUUCUUGGCCUUUUGGCUAAGAUCAAGUGGAGUAUCUGUUAUUAUCAGUUUAAUAUAUGAUACAUCCUCUAUCUGAGGACAAUAUAGUAAAUGGAUUUUUGGAACUAGGAAAUGGAAUAGGAGCUUGUUCCAUCCACUCCAUGCAUCGAUCUGGUAUUGCAGUAUUUCUAGGAAUGGUGCACCAGAA